rnacentral:lncRNA from 1 species
UUGCUCAUUCCCGGGCCGCCCUGCUCCUAUAUAAGGUGCCAUGAUCCCGAGUCAACCCUGCUUCCACCCCCGCGAACCUCGCUGUGCAAUUACGGUCGUAUUGAGAGAAAUUCGAGAGAGGGCGCUUGUGCACCGGGACCGCCGUCCCUGCACACGCGAUUCAUCGGCGCUCCGACCGAGAAGCCAGCCAGGCGAUUUUUCACCGCCAUGCACCGAGCCUGGGUGUAGCAGAGUUGGGCUCGGGGGAAAGCAUUUGGACACCGGGGACACUCACCGGUGUCGGGCGGAUCCGACCAACCCACACCUCGCCGGGGGCAAACGUAACCUAGGCUCCAGCACCGGUACGGAACCCCUGUAUUUUGUUCUUCUCAUCUCUUUCAUUGUGUCUACCAUAUGGGGGCUUGGGAUGGGGUGGUUGCGCACCUGCACUUUCUCGCCGGUGUGCACUUCCGCCGCGGCACUGCAUGCUGUUGUGGGUAGGCUCGGUCCACCAUCGGUUCGUAGGUUUCGUGCCACCACCGAAUUCGCACUAGCCCCUUCUUCACGUAGCGCCAUGCCGGACUCGGAUGGCACUCCUGCGGGUUGGAUGGCCUGUCGCUGGCAUGGGCACCGACGGGGUGCUUGGUCAGGCCGUCGUGGGCACUGCUGGAGGUUGACGAUGGAUAAGAAAUAGUUGAUCUAGUAUUCAACGACUGAGAUUAGAAGAUAGCUUACCUCUUCGUCCAACAGAACCUUGGCCGUAGAUCUAUAAUCCAAUGGAUGUGAAUGAAUCUUGGUAAUAUAGAAUUCGAGCCGUCGAUCUUGAUCCUGCGGCUUCCAUCUAAUAGCAGUCCAGUCUCCCUUGAUUUGUUCUGGGCCGUUCCGAUCUAAUCUAACGGUCCAUCCAACCUCGUACCCCUUCGCGUGCGCCAUUUUGCGUAAGAAACCCCGAGGAAAAGAUGAAUCAACCCGCCAUCCUCUGACUGUGGAAAAUAAAUAAAAGUAGGUCUCUGAAAGUUGUAAUUUAAACCCUGUGCUCUCUGGAAUUCAUGGCCGUAAUCCAAUCAGUUAUUAAAUAAGUGAAAAUAUAAUCAAAAUGAAUUUCUUAUAUAAAAACAAUUCUAGAAUCUUGAUUAAUUUCUAGCAAAUUUAUUUUAGCUCCUUUUUAAUCCAUUCCAGUUGCAUUAAUAUUGUUUUAAUAUUGUCUAUCAGUUAAUAACUCUAUUUUAGCAUGAAACCUAGAUUAAAAUUAAUCACUUAGUUAUUUUUGUACCAAACACAUAAAACCUUCAGAAAAUCAAAACUCGAAAAUCGUAACUCCGAAUUUAGUGAUUCUUGUUCCUACGAUCUUGUUGCGAUGCGUAGAAUAUUAUCAUGCAGUAUAUUACUCAGUUUGGUGUGAUGAUUAAUUUCUCUUGUACCAUGUUUGUUUGUAUUGUGGCGAGUAGACGAGCAAGGGAUUGAGAACCCAGGUGUUCAGCAGGUAGAAGUUGCUGAGCAGGAGCUCAUUGAAGGCAAGUUGUGUCCUUGACCACUUUUAUUUACCCAAUAAUGUUCUCUAUAAUCAUUUUGGCAUGCAUAGGCUUAAUUUUGAUGGGACCCAAUAGGUCACCCUAGUUUGGUCAUCUUUACACCUUAUUUAUCCUUGAACUUUUGGGUAGUCUUUGCUAUUGCUAUAUAUGGUUUUGGAUGUUGAGAUAACUAUUACACAUGUCAUUCUUUAUUAUUAUUGUUCUAUUUUUGUUCAUGAUAAGACUAUUAUGUUAAUUGGAACAUGGAGCUUAACUUGAGAAACACGUGCCACCACAAGGGUGGAAUGGGACGCCCUUGGCUGACUAAUUAGAAAAGCUAGUGGAGUCUACCUUACCCGAAAGGGGCAAGGGCAGUAGGGGAGUUGGCGUGUAGGGAGGUUCUCGGGUUGAUUUUGCUACGAUGGUGGUCAGACGGGGGAUUCUUGCAUUGCGCUCCCUAGAAACUGUAGCAAGUUUUUUGAAGCUAGUGGAACUUUGUAAAGGCCUCGUAGUGUUACCCUGCCUCGCUUCCUUGGUAGAUGUGUAUGGGGCCCGUACAACCCCGUGGCAAAUGGGUAACAUGACUUAAAGAAAUAUUUUACUAAUUCUAAGUAAUUAAGUGCUAUACAUAUGAAUACAUUUAUCAUGACUAGUAAAACCUAUAUUUUUAAUCCGACCGAAAAUAUGUGGCCUAGUAUUUCUUCUACUUUCUUAUAUUAAUAAAAUUAUACUUAAAUCACUACUAACAAAUAUUGUUCCAUGUUAAAGCGAAGUUAGCCGUAAACGUUUCUAGUAUGUAAAUCACCAAGUUAGUGAAUAGUGACAUUAUUUAUUUUUUUGAAAUAUAAAAUAGUACUCAUGUCCAAAAUAUUGUUGCAGGGUAGUUCAUGAUUUAGUGUGUUCAUCGGGGUCUCUUUUGAAUAAUUUCUAAACUGAAAAUCUCGGAAUUAAUUUCAUUUACACGCAGGGACUAAAAUGCAAAAUGUGCUUCUUCUACCUUGAGCUCUUGCUCACGCUCCAAUUGCCUUGUUCAGCAAAGUCUGAAAGAUGGGAAAGUUGUGGCUCUGUAAUUGGUAGUUCAAGGGUCCAAUCAAUCCUUCCAAGAAAUGUUCUUGACGCUUCUCGUUAGUGUCCACUUCCUCUAGGGCGUAACAUGAAAGCUGGGUGAAGCGAUCACGGUACUCACUAACAGUCAUGUUCCCUUAUGUGAGGGAAAGGAACUCCUUCUUGAGCUUCAUUAUUCCCGAGGGAAUAUGGUGAGCAUGGAAGUUCACUUGGAAUUCCUGCCAGGUUAUGGCAUCAGCAUUGGCAUGUGCCGCGAUGAAGGCAUCCCACCAAUCGGACGCGGCACCUUCGAGUCUUCCAGAAGCGUACAAGACCUUCUCUUGGUCAUUGCACUGGGUGAUAUCUAACUUCUUUGCAAUGACCUUAAGCCAAUCAUCGGCAUCCAAAGGGUUUACUACAUGAGAGAAAGCAGGCGGGUGAUGACUCAUGAAGUCCUGGUGCUUGUCUCUAGCUUGGGGUGCAUGUUGUUGUUGUUGUUGGUAUUGUUGGUUCUAUUGAUUUUGCUGAAUUUGCUGCACCGAAGCUGUGAGUCCUUGCAGAAGUUGCAUCUGCGCUGCGAUGAAUUGAUCCAUAGUAGGGUUGGGUGGUGGUGGUGGCAACUGUUGACCACACUGGUUCUGAUGGAUAUUGGGACCUGAUCGAGUGUUCACCAUCUGGUUGGUUAGAAAGUGCAAUCCCAGGGUAAGGGAGGAGUAGAAAAGAUUCUAGGGGGAAUAGCUUAUUAUUAAUGUUAAGU